CAGGUCGCCCUGCCGGGCUUC
rnacentral:miRNA from 1 species